CCUGCAGGAAGACGGACCUAUGGGUUGUAAACUGCUUUUAUAGGGGAAUAAACCCCGGAAUGUAUCCGGGGCUGAAUGUACCUGAAGAAUAAGCAUCGGCUAACUCCGUGCCAGCAGCCGCGGUAAUA
rnacentral:rRNA from 1 species